GAAUCAGGUACUCCGACCCAGCAUACGCAGCAGGCGGGACCCUCUAAGGGUCAAGCUGUGUGGGACUACUUCCAGUAGCGACUGAGCUUUGCAGUUGAGCCGGACCGGGUGCAUCUUGGAGUUGGAGUCUUUGUAGAGACUCUUGGUACCUUUUCCUUUCAGUUGACGAUUUUUCUGUUGUAUUUUGAAUUCUGUAGAUAUGCUCUGUAUCGCCCACUGAGGGUUUAAAUUUUGUAAGGCCUGGAGGCCUUGUUUGUAAAUUAUUGUACUGCCUGUAAAGCAUGCUGCCGGUUGGUUGUUUUUAACUGUAAACUUUGAGCAGGUUGAAUUGGGAAA